rnacentral:rRNA from 1 species
UACGUAGGGUGCAAGCGUUGUCCGGAAUUAUUGGGCGUAAAGAGCUCGUAGGCGGUUCGUCGCGUCGGCUGUGAAAUCCCGGAGCUCAACUCCGGGUCUGCAGUCGAUACGGGCGGACUUGAGUACUGCAGGGGAGACUGGAAUUCCUGGUGUAGCGGUGGAAUGCGCAGAUAUCAGGAGGAACACCAAUAGCGAAGGCAGCUCGCUGGGACGUUACUGACACUGAGGCGCGAAAGCGUGGGGAGCGAACAGG